AGAUCUAUUGCUGACUAGAACUCUGAGAUCAAGUUCUGGUUCCCACUCAUUUUUCUGUUGCCUUGACUUGUGCCUUAUUCCAGCUCCUUGCCCUAACUCCAGUUAUCGACUAUGGCUUGGCCCUUGGUGUGACUCUGAGUCCAGUUUGACCCUUGGCAUGGCUUCUAACUCUGACUUCAGCUCUGACCCCGAUGUGACCUCUGGCUCCAACUCUGGUUUAACCCUUGAGGUGACUUCUAACUCUGGCUGUGACCCUCGGUGUGACUGCUGACCCUGACUCUACUUCUGGCUGUGAGCGUUAGGUCAGACUGCCCACAUUACAGGUCCUGACAGUUCUGAACAACUUACGCUGCAGUUUUGUUCUUUGCUGAGGAAGGAAGAAAGAACACAAUAGCUACUGUUGCAUUUUGGAGAUCUCUGGAGUUGGUGAUCAACAAUGAAGGAGGAAAAUAGUCACUGAGGAGAGACAAGACUUUUUCAAUACCAAACUAAGGAUUCUGGGAAGAUCAAGAAGCCAUGCAACAUAUGGCUUUGAUGUGUCAUGUGUGGAUGGCAUUGGAGCACAGAGCAGGCCCAGUUGGGGAUCUCUGGAAAUGAGAAAUCUGCAGUGAAUGAAGUUACUUUUUCAAAGACGUCCCAGUGCUCUUUAUUCAGCCAAGAAAGGGGAAGAAGCCAAGAAACCAGAGAUUGGGACUCCCCACAGGUGAAGACUACAGGCCAAGCUCGCCUUUCAGGCAUAGGCAUGCCUGCAUUGAUUGAAAAUAAAUGGCACAUAAAAUAGAAAA